CUGAGGGUCUCCGCCCACCCGGCCAAUCAUCAUCGUGUUUGUAAGUGCGUUACUGACACCUCUCUCUCCCUGGCUGCAGCUGAAGUGUGGUGGUCAGAAAGCCUCACACUGUUGCUCAACUUUCUACAAGCAGAUAGUAACGCACAACCUUCCGUCCCCAGUAACGGUAACGGCGUUGCAACAGUGGGAAAAGGAAUUAAUUAGAUUUUCCAUUACCUGAAAAAGAACGCCGUUAGUAACGCCGUUAUUUUAAACUGCGUUAUUCCCAUCACUGCUUUUCACUCAAAGACGAAGGCACAGCAAACUCUACCUGACCGUCAGUCAGCUCCAUGCAGACGUUGGACGUCCAUUCUGCUGCUGUAACCCGCUGCCUCUGCAGGACCGAGCCAUCUAAAGCAGCUGGACCAGACAGAAUCCCAGGAAGAGUUUCUUUCUUCUGCUGCUCCUUUCAGAAUGUCCUCACCUCACCAUGGGUAGGUCAAUCUGUUAUUUGUGUUUUUUUAUUCCAGACUCCUGCUUAAAGCUCUGCAACUAUCGCCUCUCCACUGUCCCUCUCUUCUGGAUUCACCUGACCUACCGCUGAUCACAUUCCUGGACCACUGGACCCUUGGACACCGAGACCUCAGAACCCCUGAACCUAUGGACUCUUUGAACACCUGGAACUUUGGACAUUCUGAACCCUGAACACUUGGACAUUGUGCACCCUGGACAUCUCUCCUCUUCCCUAGACCAGCUAUGAGGUUUAGAAGUCUUCAUGCGUCUUCCAUCCCCUUUCAGAUAAAUUCAAAUAAAUCCACAUCCUGCUGGGCUGAGGGAGAGACAUUCCACCAAAACCUUUAAAUAAACUUUUUAAACGUUU